rnacentral:rRNA from 1 species
GACGAACGCUGGCGGCGUGCUUAACACAUGCAAGUCGAACGGAAAGGCCCUGCUUUUGUGGGGUGCUCGAGUGGCGAACGGGUGAGUAACACGUGAGUAACCUGCCCUUGACUUUGGGAUAACUUCAGGAAACUGGGGCUAAUACCGGAUAGGAGCUCCUGCUGCAUGUUGGGGGUUGGAAAGUUUCGGCGGUUGGGGAUGGACUCGCGGCUUAUCAGCUUGUUGGUGGGGUAGUGGCUUACCAAGGCUUUGACGGGUAGCCGGCCUGAGAGGGUGACCGGCGACAAUGGGACUGAGAUACGGCCCAGACUCCUACGGGAGGCAGCAGUGGGGAAUAUUGCACAAUGGGCGGAAGCCUGAUGCAGCAACGCCGCGUGCGGGAUGACGGCCUUCGGGUUGUAAACCGAUUUCGCCUGUGACGAAGCGUGAGUGACGGUAAUGGGUAAAGAAGCACCGGCUAACUACGUG